GGAAGCAAAUGGCAUCAGGAACUUUGAAACUUUCCUUUGUAUAUUACAUUAAUCCAUAUAAGAAAAUCUCUUUUUAAUGAGGAGUGAUGUAGUUACAAACUCUCCAGAGCCAUAAUUAGAGCAAACUAAUUGAAGUUGUGUUUUGACACACUUUCCAAAUUCACGGGUGCCGGAUGACAUAUUCACAACACUGCUGCUGCACAACCAUGGCGACGGCAAAAUCAUUAGGCUAAUAACACUUAUUUGCAUUCUUAUCAUGCCAGCAGCUCGCCCUUAAAUACUGUUUCUACUAUUGCUCCUUUACUGUAAGUUUCCACUGAAAGAUAUUAACAGUAAUUAUUAGUACUUUAGUAGAAUUUUAAUGUUAAAGA
rnacentral:sRNA from 1 species